GUUAUAGCUUGCUCUGCAAUGAGAUGGGAUCCGAGACCCUCCGAGAGAUAAUACAGGCUCUCCCAUCCAACUCCUAUGCCGACACGUCCUCGUCGUGCAGAGUGGUAACGUGUGCCUCCACAUAUCCAAGCUUGAGUACACGGGCUUGACCCAACCCCUUGGACGGAUGGUGGCAAAUGGUGAACCAGAAGGAG
rnacentral:ribozyme from 1 species